rnacentral:rRNA from 1 species
CCUACGGGGGGCUGCAGUAGGGAAUAUUGCACAAUGGAGGAAACUCUGAUGCAGCGACGCCGCGUGAGUGAUGAAGGCCUUCGGGUCGUAAAGCUCUGUCGCAAGGGAAUAACACAAUGAAUGUACCUUGCAAGAAAGGAUCGGCUAACUUCGUGCCAGCAGCCGCGGUAAGACGAGGGAUCCUAGCGUUGUUCGGAAUUAUUGGGCGUAAAGCGGGUGUAGGUGGCUUUGUAAGUCAGGUGUGAAAGCCUAGGGCUCAACCCUAGAAGUGCAUU